CGUGUUACACGUAUAGAAUGAAAGAGAUGAUGCUCAACAAAAAGAAAGAAUUUACCCAAAUAAAGAGACUUCCAUCUAUCAAAUCAAUGUAGGCUUUAACCACGAUCCUCUGUUUUUUUAAUUCUUCCAUGAUUCCGACAAUUGAAAUUAUGCCUACGAGGAUGGUGCUUGGCUACAAGAUACUCCUUUUAUGGCGGCCUUCUUAUGAUCCGAAUCUAACUGUCUCGACUCCAACAUAAUCAAGGCAAUGCCUUCCAAACCAACUCCAGGAAAGACGUAAAGAACCCAUGGAAAACCCCAAAUUUUGUUUUUUAGUACAAACCCUC
rnacentral:lncRNA from 1 species